UUGACCUCGGAUCAGNUAGAAUACCNGCUGAACUUAAGCAUAUCAAUAAGCGGANNNNNNNNNNNNNNNNGGGAUUGCCCUAGUAACGGCGAGUGAAGCGGCAACAGCUCAAAUUUGAAAUCUGGCCCCAGGCCCGAGUUGUACUUUGCAGAGGAUGCUUCGGGCGCGGCGCCUUCCAAGUCCCCUGGAACGGGGCGCCUUAGAGGGUGAGAGCCCCGUACGGUUGGAUGCCUAGCCUGUGUGAAGCUCCUUCGACGAGUCGAGUAGUUUGGGAAUGCUGCUCAAAAUGGGAGGUAGACCCCUUCUAAAGCUAAAUACCGGCCAGAGACCGAUAGCGCACAAGUAGAGUGAUCGAAAGAUGAAAAGCACUUUGAAAAGAGGGUNCAAAAGCACGUGAAAUUGUUGAAGGGGAAGCGCUUGUGACCAGACUUGCGCCGGGGCGAUCAUCUGGCGUUCUCGCCGGUGCACUCGCCCCGGCUCAGGCCAGCGUCGGUUCGGGGGGGAGGACAAAGGCGCCGGGGACGUGGCUCCCCCGGGAGUGUUAUAGCCCGGCGCGUCAUGCCCCCUCCCGGACCGAGGUUCGCGCUCUGCAAGGACGCUGGCAUAAUGGUCACCAGCGGCCCGUCUUGAAACACGGACCAAGGAGUCGAGGUUCUGCGCGAGUGUUUGGGUGUCAAACCCGCACGCGUAAUGAAAGUGAACGUAGGUGAGAGCUUCGGCGCACCACCGACCGAUCCUGAUGUUCUCGGAUGGAUUUGAGUAAGAGCGUUNGGGCUCGGACCCGAAAGAUGGUGAACUAUGCUUGGAUAGGGUGAAGCCAGAGGAAACUCUGGUGGAGGCUCGCAGCGGUUCUGACGUGCAAAUCGAUCGUCAAAUCUGAGCAUGGGGGCGAAAGACUAAUCGAACCAUCUAGUAGCUGGUUACCGCCGAAGUUUCCCUCAGGAUAGCAGUGUUGUCUUCAGUUUUAUGAGGUAAAGCGAAUGAUUAGGGACUCGGGGGCGCUAUUUUGCCUUCAUCCAUUCUCAAACUUUAAAUAUGUAAGAAGCCCUUGUUGCUUAGUUGAACGUGGGCCUUCGAAUGCAUCAACACUAGUGGGCCAUUUUUGGUAAGCAGAACUGGCGAUGUGGGAUGAACCAUACGCGAGGUUAAGGUGCCGGAGUGGACGCUCAUCAGACACCA
rnacentral:rRNA from 1 species